CAGUAAGUGACCUGCUCCUAAAAAGGGAGGAAGGAGAAGAGAGCCACCGCAGGGGCCAGAGUAUAGCUAGGCUGGACCCCUUUCCCUGAAGGACAUAGUGGGUGACCUGGGAUAGGGGUAGGGCAUCCAGUCCAGAUGCAGGGAGUAGGAUCUGCUUGGGGCCCAGGCCCUGGGGCCUGUCCCAGCCAUACCUCCUGCCUCCAAGUGUCCCCACCGCCAGCAUCAGGAAGGCCCCACAGUCCUGGCAGUCCCCUGAUCCUGGAGGUGCUGGGGUGUCUGCUGCUUGCUGGAGGUAGACAUGCAUGUGUCGACCCCGAGCUCUGCUCCUCUCCACAGGAUGAGAAGGAGCAGCUGAAUGAGUAUAAGGGGCACCUCUCUGGCUUGGCCAAGAGAGCCAAGGCCAUUGUGCAGCUGAAACCUCGCAACCCGGCUUACCCCAUCCGAGGCCCUGUGCCCCUGCUGGCUGUAUGUGAUUACAAGCAGGUGGAGGUGAGGGCUGAGCCAGGUGGGGCGGUCCGACUGGAGGGGGUGGGCAGAGGCAUGAGCAUGACCACAUUGUCAUCACCUCUGGCUGUCCCAGGUGACUGUGCACAAGGGUGACCAGUGCCAGCUGAUGGGCCCUGCUCAGCCAUCUCACUGGAAAGUGCUUAGCAGCUCUGGCAGUGAGGCUGCUGUGCCCUCCGUGUGCUUCCUUGUGCCCCCACCCAACCAGGAAGCCCAGGAAGCCAUCACCAGGUGGGUGGCCUAUGGGGUCCUUGACUGGAAGGGGUGGAUAGUGGGCAGGGCCUCAAAACCCUUGACUGUGACCCUGACCUGCCAGGCUGGAGGCCCAGCACCAGGCCCUCGUUGCACUGUGGCACCAGCUGCAUGUGGACAUGAAGAGCCUUCUGGCAUGGCAGAGCCUCAGCCGUGAUGUGCAGCUCAUCCGUUCCUGGUCCCUGGUCACGGUAUGACUGCCCACUGGCCAUGG
rnacentral:lncRNA from 1 species